UGGGGAAUAUUGGACAAUGGGCGCAAGCCUGAUCCAGCAAUGCCGCGUGUGUGAAGAAGGCCUUCGGGUUGUAAAGCACUUUCAUCAGGAGCGAACGCUGUCNGACUAAUACCCGGCGGAACUGACGGUACCUGAGGAAUAAGCACCGGCUAACUUCGUGCCAGCAGCCGCGGUAAUACGAAGGGUGCAAGCGUUAAUCGGAAUUACUGGGCGUAAAGCGUGCGUAGGCGGUUUCUUAAAGUCUGCUGUGAAAUCCCCGGGCUCAACCUGGGAAUGGCAGUGGAUACUGGGAGGCUAGAGUGUGUCAGAGGGUGGUGGAAUUCCCGGUGUAGCGGUGAAAUGCGUAGAGAUCGGGAGGAACAUCAGUGGCGAAGGCGGCCACCUGGGACAACACUGACGCUGAGGCACGAAAGCGUGGGGAGCAAACAGGAUUAGAUACCCUGGUAGUCCACGCCGNNAAACGAUGCCGAAAGCUGGAAUGUUCGGUCUCAACUCGGAGAUCAGUGUCGAAGCUAACGCGUAAGUUCGCGCUGGGGAGUACGGUCGCAAGACUGAAACUCAAAGGAAUUGGACGGGGUCAUAGCUGUUUCCU
rnacentral:rRNA from 1 species